rnacentral:rRNA from 1 species
AUGAGCAGCUCGGUGCUCUUCUGGUACUUGCGGAUCUCCCGGAGCGCGACGGUGCCGGGGCGGAAGCGGUGGGGCUUCUUCACGCCGCCGGUGGCCGGGGCGGACUUGCGCGCCGCCUUGGUGGCCAGCUGCUUCCGCGGCGCCUUGCCGCCGGUGGACUUCCUCGCCGUCUGCUUCGUGCGGGCCAUCGGGAGUGGAGGACUUGCUUCGUGGGCGCGGAGAGAGGAUUGCUUCGGAGGUUUGGGGUUGGAAUGA